rnacentral:rRNA from 1 species
GAGGAGUGGCGAACGGGUGAGUAACACGUGGGUAACCUGCCCAUCAGAAGGGGAUAACACUUGGAAACAGGUGCUAAUACCGUAUAACAAUCGAAACCGCAUGGUUUUGAUUUGAAAGGCGCUUUCGGGUGUCGCUGAUGGAUGGACCCGCGGUGCAUUAGCUAGUUGGUGAGGUAACGGCUCACCAAGGCCACGAUGCAUAGCCGACCUGAGAGGGUGAUCGGCCACAUUGGGACUGAGACACGGCCCAAACUCCUACGGGAGGCAGCAGUAGGGAAUCUUCGGCAAUGGACGAAAGUCUGACCGAGCAACGCCGCGUGAGUGAAGAAGGUUUUCGGAUCGUAAAACUCUGUUGUUAGAGAAGAACAAGGAUGAGAGUAACUGUUCAUCCCUUGACGGUAUCUAACCAGAAAGCCACGGCUAACUACGUGCCAGCAGCCGCGGUAAUACGUAGGUGGCAAGCGUUGUCCGGAUUUAUUGGGCGUAAAGCGAGCGCAGGCGGUUUCUUAAGUCUGAUGUGAAAGCCCCCGGCUCAACCGGGGAGGGUCAUUGGAAACUGGGAGACUUGA